rnacentral:rRNA from 1 species
UACGUAGGCAGCAAGCGUUGUUCGGAAUUACUGGGCGUAAAGAGUGUGUAGGCGGUGCUCCAAGUCUGGUGUGAAAUCUCCCGGCUUAACUGGGAGGGUGCAUUAGAAACUGGAAUGCUAGAGGAUGGGAGAGGUAAGCGGAAUUCCUGGUGUAGCGGUGAAAUGCGUAGAUAUCAGGAGGAACACCAGUGGCGAAGGCGGUUCUCUGGGCAUUACCUGACGCUGAGGAGCGAAAGCGUGGGGAGCGAACAGG